GUCCCCAUCAUCUAGUGGCCUAGGAUAUCGCCCUUUCACGGCGAGUACCGGGGUUCGAAUCCCCGUGGGGACGCCA
rnacentral:tRNA from 2 species